AACAGUUCAGGACUAGUCAUUCAAAUGGACUAAAGGUGGGGGAGAAAAAAUAAGAGUGGAUAAAAGAAAGAAAGAAAACAGAGAAAGGUGGGAAAAAAAAAACAAAGGAAGGAAGAGAGAAAAGAGAAUGAGAGGAAGAGAAGGAAGGGGAAAAACAAGAUUGACUUUACAGUAUGAGAUAUACUAUUAUAUAUUGGACCCUUGGUGGGCAGUGCCUAAACAGAGACAACUACAGGUUUCUGGCUGUGGCCACUCUCUGGUGAAACUAAGGGGUUUCUGUGUGGAGGUGCCUAACAGCCACCGUCCAGUUUGGUAGUAUGAUGCCUCUGGCUUCCCUCUAUCACACGUCUUCUUUUCGAGUAAAGGUUUUUCAUAAAUGUGAGCGUGGAAGAAGAAACCAGUUAAAUAUGGAACUUCACACCAGGACACAAAAGGACUUCAAACUUUUAGAUUCCACAAGUAUGUGAAAAGAUGCAGUAUUUGUCUUUCUGUGCAUGGUUUACUUCACUUAUCAUCAUGUCCCUCAGGUUCAUCCACGUUGUUGCAAAUGACAGGAUUUCAUUCAUUUUUAAGACUGAAUAGUACUCCAUUAUGCAAAUAUACCAGAUUUUCAUUGUCUAUUCGUUCACUGAUGAACACGGGUUAAUCCUAUAUGUUGGCUAUUGUGAAUAAAGCUGCAAUGAAUAUGAGAGUACAGAUAUAUUCUUGACAUAUUAAUUUUAUUUUAUUUGGCAAUAUACCCAAUAGUAGCUAGAUCAUAUCAGAGUUCUAUUUUUAAUUUUUGAGGAAACUUCAUACUGUUUUUCAUAAUAGUUAUUACUAAUUUACACUCAGUAUACAAGAGUUCCCUUUUCUCCACAUUCUUUCCAAAAUUUGUUUCCUUUUCCCUUUUUGAUAACAGCUACUCUAACUGGGGUGAAAUAAUAUCUCACUGUGGUUUUAAUUUUCAUUUAUCUGAUUAAUGAUUUUGAGCUUUUUAAAAUAAAUACUUGUUGGCAAUUUGUAUGUCAUCUUUUGAGAAGUGUCUAUUAAAAUUUGUUUGCCUAUUUUUAAUCA
rnacentral:lncRNA from 1 species